rnacentral:rRNA from 1 species
UGGGGAAUAUUGGACAAUGGGCGCAAGCCUGAUCCAGCCAUGCCGCGUGAGUGAUGAAGGCCCUAGGGUUGUAAAGCUCUUUCACCGGUGAAGAUAAUGACGGUAACCGGAGAAGAAGCCCCGGCUAACUUCGUGCCAGCAGCCGCGGUAAUACGAAGGGGGCUAGCGUUGUUCGGAUUUACUGGGCGUAAAGCGCACGUAGGCGGACUUUUAAGUCAGGGGUGAAAUCCCGGGGCUCAACCCCGGAAAUGCCUUUGAUACUGGAAGUCUUGAGUAUGGUAGAGGUGAGUGGAAUUCCGGGUGUAGAGGUGAAAUUCGUAGAUAAUCGGAGGAACACCAGUGGCGAAGGCGGCUCACUGGACCAUUACUGACGCUGAGGUGCGAAAGGGUGGGGAGCAAACAGG